rnacentral:rRNA from 1 species
UACGUAGGGUGCAAGCGUUAAUCGGAAUUACUGGGCGUAAAGCGUGCGCAGGCGGCCAUGCAAGACAGAUGUGAAAUCCCCGGGCUCAACCUGGGAACUGCAUUUGUGACUGCAUCGCUGGAGUGCGGCAGAGGGGGAUGGAAUUCCGCGUGUAGCAGUGAAAUGCGUAGAUAUCAGGAGGAACACCGAUGGCGAAGGCAGGUCUCUGGGCUGACACUGACGCUCAUGCACGAAAGCGUGGGGAGCAAACAGG